rnacentral:rRNA from 1 species
UACGUAGGGUGCAAGCGUUGUCCGGAUUUAUUGGGCGUAAAGAGCUCGUAGGCGGUCUGUCGCGUCGGAUGUGAAAACCCAGGGCUCAACCCUGGGCCUGCAUUCGAUACGGGCAGACUAGAGUACGGCAGGGGAGACUGGAAUUCCUGGUGUAGCGGUGAAAUACGCAGAUAUCAGGAGGAACACCGGUGGCGAAGGCGGGUCUCUGGGCCGUAACUGACGCUGAGGAGCGAAAGCGUGGGGAGCAAACAGG